CCUACGGGGGCAGCAGUGAGGAAUAUUGGUCAAUGGGCGCAAGCCUGAACCAGCCAAGUCGCGUGAGGGAUGACGGUCCUAUGGAUUGUAAACCUCUUUUGUCGGGGAGCAAGGCCCGCCACGUGUGGCGUGAAGGAGAGUACCCUAAGAAACAGCAUCGGCUAACUUCGUUCCAGCAGCGGCGGUAAUACGGGGGAUGCGAGCGUUAUCCGGAUUUAUUGGGUUUAAAGGGUGCGUAGGCGGAAGGUUAAGUCAGCGGUCAAAUGUCGGUGCUCAACACCGGCCUGCAGUUGAAACUGGUAUUCUUGAGUGAGCGAGAGGUAUGCGGAAUGCGAGGUGUAGCGGUGAAAUGCAUAGAUAUCACGCAGAACUCCGAUGGCGAAGGCAGCAUACCGGCGCGCAACUGACGCUGAGGCACGAAAGCGUGGGGAUCGAACAGGAUUAGAUACCCGAGUAGUC
rnacentral:rRNA from 1 species